CAAAGUACCCGGAAGCCCGGUGGGACCUAACCCCUCGGGGAGGCAGCCGUCUAAGGUAGGGUUGAUGAUUGGGGUG
rnacentral:rRNA from 1 species